GAAAGAGUUCUGAUUUUCACGGGGCCACGGAGAGUAAAAAGAAGUUUGUAAUCUAGAAAUCUAGAAAUUGGUUAAAAGAUCAUAAAAAUCAAAGCGAGAUAAGGAAUUGUAAUAUAAAAGCGUGGCUUGUGUUUUGGAUUGCGGAAUUGAAGAAAGCAAUACCAGCGUUAGGUUAAGAAGGGGAUAAUGAAGGAUGACGCUGAUGAUCGAAAACGGGAUAAUCCAUGGCCCUCGUCAAACUCGCCCUAUCAGGGGGAGCCCGAGCAUGAUGCGAAGCUUUGGGGUAUUUUUCUCUUCGGCUUGAUAGGUGCCACUGCCACAACCUUCGCCGUUAGUCAGCUGCGGAGGACUGUUGAUUGGUUCUAUGCACAGAUGUCCAGAUCGCAAUCACCAUGGAAAGGAGGGGCGGGCUCCUUUCGAUCUUCUUUUCAGGAAGAAGCAUGGAAAAGGUACAAUAAGCGGCUCCAAGAAGAGUAUGAAGAGGAAAUGGCGAGAGUGGAACGUAUAAGGCGUAUGCAAAGUGUGUUUAACAGGGAAAGGAAUAAGUACAAAAGAAGCUAUGAGAACUGGAGCCAAAAUGAUCACAACGGUGGAUAUCGUCAACAUUUCCAAAGAGAUGAUUGGUAUUGGAAGACUGACGCAUCCUAUAGAGAUUGGAGGACCAAUUAUCGAGAAGCUCCAAGGGAAACUGGAAGCUAUUCAUUAUCGCAUCACUACUCAGUUUUGGGUCUUGACAGGUUUAGAACAACACCAUAUACAGAUGCAGAGAUUAAGACAGCAUUUAGGACCAAGGCAAAGGAGUAUCAUCCUGAUCAGAACCAGGAUAAUAGAGAGGCUGCAGAGGCAAAAUUCAAAGAGGUGGUGAAUUCUUAUGAAACCAUAAAGAAGGAAAGAGAGAACCAGAUGUAGCAAUUGCCCAAUCCUUCCCCAGCUUCUGCCUCAGAAUUUUGGAACCUAUUUGGACAAGUAGGAAGAAGAUCCGAUAAUGAAUCAUUGCAGCAGCGGCAGGAGGAGGACCAGAGGGGUUGGGAUGAUGGGAGGCGGCGCCAGCUAAGCGGCAACCUCGCUACAUACUGAAAGACCCUUGCUCUGUUGGGUUUGGCAACGGGACAGCUGAGUUGGGCCUCGGAGAAAAUUAUAUAUUUUACUCAAAGCAAAAAAUAAUAAUAGUAAAAAUAUUAUAAAAUAAUUAUUUUGAA